GACGAACGCUGGCGGCGUGGAUUAGGCAUGCAAGUCGAACGGUAUCAUCCUUUCGGGGAUGAGAGAGUGGCGAACGGGUGAGUAACACGUAGGUGAUCUACCCUCAAGACGGGGACAACCCAGGGAAACUUGGGCUAAUACCGGAUGUGAGCUAUCGCGAGAUAGUUUGAAAGGUGGCUUCGGCUGCCGCUUGGGGAUGAGCCUGCGUCCUAUUAGCUAGUUGGUGAGGUAACGGCUCACCGAGGCAGUGAUAGGUAGGCGGCCUUAACGGGUGGUCGCCCACACUGGGAUUGAGAUACGGCCCAGACUCCUACGGGAGGCAGCAGUCGAGAAUAGUCUACAAUGGUCGAAAGACUGAUAGUGCGACGCCGCGUGAACGAAGAAGCCCUUCGGGGUGUAAAGUUCUUUUAUAUGUGAGCAGUGCUUUCUAUGUGAACAGCAUGGGGAGAGAGAUAUUAGCAUAUGAAUAAGCAACGGCUAACUCCGUGCC
rnacentral:rRNA from 1 species